AUGGGGGAUCCCUACACCAAUUUCUUGAGGGGCUACAGCCUCCGCUACUCCAACGCAGCGGCUUCUUCCUCUUCCCCCUUCCCCAGCUACACCUCCUACCUCCACCACCCACCUCCCUCCUCCCCUCCGAUCAGGGAAGCCCUCCCCCUCCUCAGCCUCGCGCCUUCCUCCUCAACCUACCACCCCCAUCAACACCACGAUCAAGAAGAUCACAAGGUCAUGACCACCGCCUCCUGCAGCAGCCAGGCAGAAGCCGCCGAUCAGGCAGCCGGGGAGGUCACCGUGGCCCUGCACAUCGGCCUGCCCAGCCCCAGCCCCUCCGAUGCAGCAGCCGGCAGCGGCAACCACCACCAAGAAGAGGCAGCGGCUGGAGGAGUAGCUGCUGAGGAGAGAAGCCAGCAGCUGCAGGAAGAAGGGCAGGAGGAAGGGGAAGGGGAGGAGGAGGAUGGCAGCACGAUGGCGCUGGGGGUGGGGUGCGCGUCCCUGGGGAUAGGUAGGCUCACAAAGGGGCAGUACUGGAUCCCCACCCCGUCCCAGAUCCUCAUUGGUCCCACGCAGUUCUCCUGCCCCGUCUGCUACAAGACCUUCAACAGAUACAACAACAUGCAGAUGCACAUGUGGGGCCACGGGUCGCAGUACCGGAAGGGCCCGGAGUCGCUGCGGGGGACGCAGCCGACGGCGAUGCUCCGCCUGCCUUGCUACUGCUGCGCGGCGGGCUGCCGGAACAACGUCGACCACCCGCGCGCCCGCCCGCUCAAGGACUUCCGCACCCUGCAGACCCACUACAAGCGCAAGCACGGCAUCAAGCCCUUCAUGUGCCGCAAGUGCGGCAAGGCCUUCGCCGUGCGCGGCGACUGGCGCACCCACGAGAAGAACUGCGGCAAGCUCUGGUACUGCGCAUGCGGGUCUGACUUCAAGCACAAGCGCUCCCUCAAGGACCACAUCCGCGCCUUCGGCCGCGGCCACGCGCCCUGCGGCAUCGACUGCUUCGACCUCGACGACGACGACCGCGACCCUUCCUCCGAGGUUGACCACACCGUUAACACCGCCGCCGCCACCACCACCAACGGCGCCGGCAGCGACCGUCGCCAUUGGAAGGCCAAUUAA
rnacentral:rRNA from 1 species